AGGAACGAACCGUUCUUCUAAGUGAACCCGUUCUUUUGAACCGUUCUUUCGCUCUUUUUUUUCGCCAGAUUGAAAUGUUAAUAUUGGUAUGAAAAACAACUAAAAGUUGUGCAGUAUUUUUUCUUAUUUGUGCAAUUAAGUACAUAAAUAUGUGCAGCUUUUCAUAUUUGCUGUUAAAAAUAGUAGGCCUAUUAUGUACAGGGUUUUCCAAGAUUCAAACGAGCCGAUACCGAUCGAGAGCAACAAUUCCGACUGAUUGCUCUGAUAUCUGCCAGUAAUUUCCCCCUUUAUAUACGCUCGGCCAAACGUGGUGGUACAGCUACGAGCUGCCCGUCAGGUGGAAAACUCACCAGUACUGGUAAUGGUUUACAUACAAUUCAUCGCGGCCCAUACUUCUAUGGAUUCGGAGCCGAAUAUGCUGGAACACGAGAUAGAUAUGUCACACUUGAUUGUGACACAGGGGUGCAAACGCACAACUGUCUGUUCGUUAUGUUCAACAACUUUCUCAUCAAGUUGAAUGAAUUCAAAAUAACGCAGGCGCGGAGUACUAGGAUUUCCUGCUGGUGCAAUUUGCAGACGAGAGCCAGUGCCACAUCCACCUCAACACAAUACAAGCCUUCGUGAUACUGUUGACGCAUUCUAGCUAUACUCCGGUAGCGUCGCAAAUUUUGGACUAUUUGUUUUCGGAGGGAGGACAACCGAAGCUGUUGGCACUGUUGGAUCCAGCGGUAAUCGAUCAGUUCGAUGCAGUAAACAACACAAUGCACAAAAACUAUCUGGCGCAGCUGGUAGAAAUUCUACAAACCAGAGGUGCCAAAAAUAGACACAUCUCGAUUCAGGCAUUAGAGCUAGAAAAUCGACCCAUCCGAUAAUGAACCUAACUGUAAUGGAGCAGUUCCAAAUCGAUCUCGACGAUGAAACCUGAACCAGAACUGUCUCCGAGCACAGUAGGUCUGGUUCAAGUCGAAAUAAAUCGAAGAAGUUGUUGGGAUUGUUCUGACGUAUCCUGCUAUCAGCCAACCGCACAUGGCUAAAUAUCACAAGCUAAUUCAGCGGUUGACAAAUGCGGAAAAGUCAAAAUCACAGGAAAUCACCACGAAUAAGGUGCUGAAUUAUCUCGGAAGGCUGAUUAAAAGCUCCCAGGGACAAUACCUGAUCAUACAAUGGAUAUAAAAUCAGCAGAUGUAUUGCUUGUUCCGCUUACUACUAGAUAUUGCACCAGAAAAGUUUGAAAACAUAAGUUUUUUCCACCAUGUUUAGACGAAAUUAUCAAAUAUAUGAAAAUCCGACAUCAAACACAGUGUUGUUACAGAUUCUCGUGGGAAAACGCCAACAGCUUUUCAAGGUUGCUCAGAAGGAAACGCUCGAGGAUCAAAGUCAGUCACAGACUAUUGCAAAUGUUGACCACCAUCAAAGCUUCCGAAGUUGAACGCAAGGGCAAACAACAGCUCCGCCAGACAAGCCGGGAUGAGAUGUAUAACGUUAUCUCCACCUUUCUCAAAGGAGGUAAACUAUUCGCUCUGAAAAAUCCCGAACUGCAGUUUAACAAACGGUCUGCUGGUGGACUGGUUAGCUAGUGCCGAUUCCGAACUGAUUCACGUGAACAAGGAGAUCCAGAUGGAUUUGCUAUUCAAUCGAGCGUUGCCCCAAUUUCGACCUUAUCUUCUCUCGCUGAUGAGUCAUCAGACCACCUGGUCCACUCUUCACCAGACGGUGAUCAUGCUGAUGGAAGGUUUCUAACCAAACUGUGAUCCUUCUUCGGUUUUGGACUUUGUUGAAACGAUGACAAGAAAUCCGAACUUUUGACAGGGAAGUGAUUAGUCGGUUCCCAAGCAUCAGCAAAUAGAGAUUGUAACGUUCAACGAACGACAAAUUUAAACCUUCGUCGAUUACGUAUUGGCGGAAGAUAUUUUUACUACGAAUAUGUGCCUAAUUGGAAGAAGAGUCCUACAAUUUUUCGUCGAAUUAAAAACAAAUGAAUUUAUACCGUAUCUAGCAAUAUUAUAAGUUGUAUAUUUCAAAAAUGCACAGUUAAUUAAGUUAAUUAAUUAACGUUCCUCUCAAUAUGCUACACUUUUGACUUGAAUGAGGAUAAGUUGUAGGCGCGACAUCAUUAAACAACAACAACGAUAAUAACAGAUGAAUGUAAAGAACAUAUAUUUAUUUAUAAAAUAAUAUUAGACUAAAAAGUAUUAAUAAUUAUGGUUAAUAAAAAUUAUUUUUGAUAUUUUGUUUGUA